ACCAAAAAUCGAUCCUUUGUUAUGUCCAGAAAACCUGAUUGAACACCAUCAUUAAAUACACGCUGUUGUUACGACUGUCCUUGUGUGAUCCAAAUGGGCAGAUCAGGUUUGUAAUUAAUAAACUUCCACCAGACCCCCUCUCACCACCCGCAGAGUGGAGGAGGGAACUGGUGUGGGUGGGUUUUGACACCUCACGCCCUGUCGUAAAUUAAGGUAGAAGAAGACUCACUCCCUCCCUCUUUAAAUGCUCAUAGGAAUGUACCUUUGUUUCACAGACAGUUUUCCCGCCGAAACUCUAACACGUUCAAAAGCGAAUACUGGAACAAUAUUUCUAACAUAAGAAUGUGGGGAAUGGUCAGAGAUGAUCUAUAUAAAACUAAUGUCAUAUUGGUUUUUAUUUUGUGAUGUCAUUUUGUGACGUCCUUAACAACAUCACAGAGAUCAGAGCAGAUUGCGUACAACAUUUGUAAACUCUUCCAGAAACCCUUCUCAGCCCGUGUACAACAUGGGAGUGUGGCAGGCCAGGUGGUAUUAAGCGAAGAUGUGAACAGAGAGGGAAUUCUACUGCAAAUGAUCUAUGUAGAUAAAUCUGGUAAAUAAAUAGAUGUGAGCAACGUGCAGUGGUUAGUGUUAUUUCCUAAUCAGUGCCCAUCUAUGUCACUAUGCACAUGUCUGUAUUUGCUCCUGUCCUUGUAUGUACCUGUAACCAUAUUACUGUAUGCCUGUGUGUAUGUUUCAGACAGCGUUUGAGGUUCUGGGCUUUGUCUCAGUCAUGUCUAACUGCUGGCUGCUGCCUCCUCGGGUUAGGCAGUUCUGUCUGGAGGGAGGGAUCAGCGGCAAGAACAUCAUACUCUUCACCAUCCUGGUCGAGAAGCUUUGAAGGCUGUGGAACCCCUGAGGGUGUUCAUGUUUCCCAUCCAGUGUUAGACCUGGGGUCUCAUUAGAACCAGCUGCCACGACGAAGUCUGGGAGCUGAGCCAUGAGAGCCUGCUCUCCGCUCCAAGAAACUCUUGUCAGUAUCUCCCUCUGGAGGACUGUUUCAGUCAUAACUAGAGUGGUCUCUCAUGUCAUGGGAGAUACUAGAGAGAAGGCCAGGGACUAAAGGGAAACGCAAAGAAGAAGAGCUAAGUUCAUUGUGUUAAUAUAGCAUUUGCAUCCUUUUUUUUCAUGUUGCACAUCAUUUUGUAAAAUGUUCCCACAGUGUGCUCCAUGUAAUUUCCCAUUAUCAGUGUUACAUUGUACGCUUAACUUAUAAUAGGCACAUCACAAACAAAAUGAGAGUACUUGAUAUCACAUAAUACAGUAUAUCUGUGCACUUCUACUUGAAGUUGACUAUAUUUUAAACAUUUGGAUUGAUGAGCUUGUUGUUGGAAUAUUUGUAGGCCUAUCUAUUACAUGUGUAUUAUCAGUAUCUUUUAAAAAUGAAGAUUUCAGAACUGAUGCAGUGUUGGAUGAAUGUAGAUAGCAAGGCUGAUGGUUGUACUUGAUUUAGUAUAGUUUACUUUGCCAUCAAAAUUAUUUGUACAGUAUCCUCUUGUCAAAAUGUACUGAAAUCCACUUGGACUUUCAUCUGACCUGCUAAAAAAAAAAGACAAUGUUCCAUGGCCGUUUCAGAGGAGUAAUUAUACAUUGGUUUAUCCUUACUAUAGUACAUAUACCCCAUUAAAUCACAUCACACACCAUAUCUCUGGUUUAAUCCAUUUUAAUAAAUAAAUACAAAAAUAAAUAAAUCUCAUUGAGACCUAGAGUUGGAUUCAAUCCGUAGCGCCUAAAAUCAGCGUUAUAGCGUGAUUGAAAUUUAAAGGUGAAAUCUGCUGUUCAAACAACAAAGGCCACCCCACCGCUGAUUUGGUAAAGAGAGGAGGGAUGGGGCUGGAGAAAUGUAAGCGCUCUCAAAUUCAUAGACUGAACUAUGGGUGCAAGGACUGACCAGCUCUGAGAUUAAAAUGAUAGUUUUAACCAUGUUUGGAGGCUAUACAAUGUUUGUUUACAAACAAAGAGGUGUAAAAGGUUAAAAUAUGUAUUGUGAUGGGGUACAACAGUUGAACUAAGCUCAUUAGGCAUUUAUAAGUUAUAUUCUUCAAGAAUGAGGGGGUAUACCACCAAUUUAAAAGUCCAAAAAUGGACCUAGCGAUCACAAAUUGCCGUUUUAAAUGCAAUGCUUCCGCGGUAAACACUUCAUAUGUCGGCUCAAUCGAAAAUUACUUACAAAUUUAAACCGUGCUACAACACUGAUCUUCUGCGCUACAAAUUGAAUCCAGCCCUAUAGUCAUAGUUUAAAUCAGGUUCAAUGGGCCGACAGACAGACAGACACUUCCCAGCUAAGGUGACUCCAGGCUAGGUGUGGAGGAGACAGCUGGUUGGCGGAGUGGAAUGGAGACACACCCCCCCCCAUCC